rnacentral:rRNA from 1 species
UACGUAGGUGGCAAGCGUUGUCCGGAUUUAUUGGGUUUAAAGGGUGCGUAGGCGGCCUUAUAAGUCAGUGCUGAAAUAUCCCGGCUUAACCGGGAGGGUGGCAUUGAUACUGUAGGGCUUGAGUACAGAUAAGGUAGGCGGAAUUGACGGUGUAGCGGUGAAAUGCAUAGAUAUCGUCAAGAACACCGAUAGCGAAGGCAGCUUACUGGGCUGUAACUGACGCUGAUGCACGAAAGUGUGGGGAUCAAACAGG